rnacentral:lncRNA from 1 species
UCCUUUUAUUUCUUUGAUCUAGUAUCCAAAUUAGAGACUGUUUUAUUAUUAUUAUUACUUAAAUAAAAUUAUUGUUUAGGAAUUUUUAAUAAAUAUUUUUUAAAUAAUAUAUAAUAAAAAUUAUUAAUAAAAAGGAAAAGAAAAAUGAGAUUAGAAUACUUCACAUUAUCUCUCUCCCUCACGUUUGCUCUUAACCACAUCCACACUCUACCUCACCUUUCCACGUUACCCCUCUCUCUCUGUACAUUAAAAAGAAAAACAAAAAGAACAAGGCACACACAGAUUCACACGUCC